GCUGUGGAUCUAGCUGCAGUUCAUCUGCAGUCUCUCCCUUCGUUUCUGGUCACAAUAUUAAAGCUUAUGCUGACAUAAAGUGUAUGCAUGUGUCACACUGGCAUUAUCUCCAGCGCUAUAAUCCAGCUCCCCGUCAAUAACACCAUUCUAUCCCUCACUUCCCCUGUCCUUUCAUUUCCUGCCUUUCUGCUGGGGGUGGAAGUGAGUGACGGGAGAUGACAUUUCCAGUAUGACUUCACAAAGCAGUGACUCACAAUUGAUUCACUGUUUUACGCUUACAGAUAUAGAAACUUUCUCUCCCCGCCAUUUCUUUGUCGUCCUUUUGAGCUGAAGACCAACUUCCUGUCAGUGAGAGAGGCUACUAAACAAUGGAUGCCCAUAAUCUCAGUGAGGAAUAACGUCACAGAUGCUUCUGGGAGGACUGACCGACCGCGAAGGUUUUCAUGCUUUUAUUCAAUGCGCUAAUGUUCCCAAGGGUGCCAUCCGAACUGCUGUUUUUCCCCUGAAGUUGUUACAGAAGGAAGAAAGUCCCAAUUAAAGAGAUGAGAAAAUAGAUAAAGAAAGAGAUCAUUUCUCUUUUUUUUUUCAUGGCAAAAACGGGCUUCCAUAUUGAGGCUCUAAUAUGGCAGUGUUGUUAUUGUUACCCACUGGAGUGCCCAUUAAUGCCAUUACCAGGCUCCGGAUCAAGAAAAGAAAUCCCAUAGGAAUUCACUUAAGGUUGCUAACACCCAUUUUUCCCAUUAAACUCUUACA